rnacentral:rRNA from 1 species
AGAGUUUGAUCCUGGCUCAGGAUGAACGCUAGCUACAGGCUUAACACAUGCAAGUCGAGGGGCAGCAGGACGGUAGCUUGCUACUGUCGCUGGCGACCGGCGCACGGGUGAGUAACGCGUAUCCAACCUUCCCCUGAGUAGGGAAUAGCCCGGCGAAAGUCGGAUUAAUGCCCUAUGUUGUCCGACGAUAGCAUUUGAAUUGGAUGAAAGAUUUAUCGCUCAGGGAUGGGGAUGCGUCUGAUUAGGUUGCAGGCGGGGUAACGGCCCACCUGGCCGACGAUCAGUAGGGGUUCUGAGAGGAAGGUCCCCCACAUUGGAACUGAGACACGGUCCAAACUCCUACGGGAGGCAGCAGUGAGGAAUAUUGGUCAAUGGGCGAGAGCCUGAACCAGCCAAGUAGCGUGCAGGAUGACGGCCCUAUGGGUUGUAAACUGCUUUUGGAGGGGAAUAAAGUGGCGUACGUGUACGCCUUUGUAUGUACCCUCAGAAUAAGGACCGGCUAAUUCCGUGCCAGCAGCCGCGGUAAUACGGAAGGUCCGGGCGUUAUCCGGAUUUAUUGGGUUUAAAGGGAGCGCAGGCCGCCGAUUAAGCGUGACGUGAAAUGUCCCGGCUCAACCGGGGAGUUGCGUCGCGAACUGGUUGGCUUGAGUGCGGACGAGGUAUGCGGAAUUCGUGGUGUAGCGGUGAAAUGCUUAGAUAUCACGAAGAACCCCGAUUGCGAAGGCAGCGUACCAGGCCGUAACUGACGCUAAUGCUCGAAGGUGCGGGUAUCGAACAGGAUUAGAUACCCUGGUAGUCCGCACGGUAAACGAUGGAUGCCCCGCUGUUGCCAUAUAGUGUAAGCGGCCAAGCGAAAGCGUUAAGCAUCCCACCUGGGGAGUACGCCGGCCACGGUGAAACUCAAAGGAAUGGACGGGGGCCCCCCAACCGGAGGAACUGUGGUUUAAUUCGAGAUACCCCAGGACCU